rnacentral:rRNA from 1 species
GAUGAACGCUGGCGGCGUGCCUAAUACAUGCAAGUCGAGCGAACAGACGAGGAGCUUGCUCCUCUGACGUUAGCGGCGGACGGGUGAGUAACACGUGGAUAACCUACCUAUAAGACUGGGAUAACUUCGGGAAACCGGAGCUAAUACCGGAUAAUAUAUUGAACCGCAUGGUUCAAUAGUGAAAGACGGUUUUGCUGUCACUUAUAGAUGGAUCCGCGCCGCAUUAGCUAGUUGGUAAGGUAACGGCUUACCAAGGCAACGAUGCGUAGCCGACCUGAGAGGGUGAUCGGCCACACUGGAACUGAGACACGGUCCAGACUCCUACGGGAGGCAGCAGUAGGGAAUCUUCCGCAAUGGGCGAAAGCCUGACGGAGCAAUGCCGCGUGAGUGAUGAAGGUCUUCGGAUCGUAAAACUCUGUUAUUAGGGAAGAACAAAUGUGUAAGUAACUAUGCACGUCUUGACGGUACCUAAUCAGAAAGCCACGGCUAGCUACGUG